rnacentral:rRNA from 1 species
AUGACGCGGGCUGGAUCUCUCGGGGUUACAGCCUUGCUGAAUUAUUCACCCUUGUCUUUUGCGUACUUCUUGUUUCCUUGGUGGGUUCGCCCACCACUAGGACAAACAUAAACCUUUUGUAAUUGCAAUCAGCGUCAGUAACAAAUUAAUAAUUACAACUUUCAACAACGGAUCUCUUGGUUCUGGCAUCGAUGAAGAACGCAGCGAAAUGCGAUAAGUAGUGUGAAUUGCAGAAUUCAGUGAAUCAUCGAAUCUUUGAACGCACAUUGCGCCCUUUGGUAUUCCAAAGGGCAUGCCUGUUCGAGCGUCAUUUGUACCCUCAAGCUUUGCUUGGUGUUGGGCGUCUUGUCUCUAGCUUUGCUGGAGACUCGCCUUAAAGUAAUUGGCAGCCGGCCUACUGGUUUCGGAGCGCAGCACAAGUCGCACUCUCUAUCAGCAAAGGUCUAGCAUCCAUUAAGCCUUUUUUUCAACUUUUGACCUCGGAUCAGGUAGGGAUACCCGCUGAACUUAAGCAUAUCAUAG